GUUCUUGUAGUUGAAUAACAACGGUGGUUUUUCAUAUCAUUAGUCCUGGCUAAAAUCCGGGCAGGAAUU
rnacentral:tRNA from 2 species